AUGCGUGAGCGUGCGGGGAUGGAUGGUGUACAAUGGCUAAAAAUGGUUAUAAUAGGAGGAGGAGCUGAUGGCAAUGAAGGAGAUGGUUCUGGAAGUCAGUCCCUUUGUCGAAGGACAAAGCGUGCUGCUAAUCGCCAGCCACGCCCAAAACGUACUGUUGAGGAGGGAGAGGAAGUUGAGGAUGUUGAUCGGUUUCGGGUUGUAAAGCGGACUAAACGUGCAGCAGCAGCAGGGCGAGCUGAAUCAUCUACUAGGGCAAUAGUUGGUGGAGGAGCUGCCUCAUCUUCCGCAGCAGAUGCUGAGUCCAGCGUUGAAGGAGUUGAGGUGCCUGCCUGGGAAGAUGUGGAGCGACCAUCACAAGCUGGCAGGUUAAGGGUAUCACCAGGGCGGUUUGUGAAGUUCAACAGCUUGCUAUCCCCGCCACAGAAGUCAAAGCUAGUUUCAAGGUUGUUUGGGGGCCUCUUGAACUUAUCAGAUACACUUCCAGGGGACUUCAGUAAAUUCCUGGUGCAGUCCUACCAGCCAAAGACAUCUGAAAUGGUGUUCCCAGGUAGGGGAAGUAUCCGUGUCGAUGCUGACAGUGUUCAAAGGGUGUUUGAUCUUCCUAAAGGGGUCUAA
rnacentral:rRNA from 1 species